GGGAAGCAUAUACUGCAGUCGAGCGAGCUUGCCUAGAUGAUUUUAGUGCUUGCACUAAAUGAAACUAGAUACAAGCGAGCGGCGGACGGGUGAGUAACACGUGGGUAACCUGCCCAAGAGACUGGGAUAACACCUGGAAACAGAUGCUAAUACCGGAUAACAACACUAGACGCAUGUCUAGAGUUUGAAAGAUGGUUCUGCUAUCACUCUUGGAUGGACCUGCGGUGCAUUAGCUAGUUGGUAAGGUAACGGCUUACCAAGGCAAUGAUGCAUAGCCGAGUUGAGAGACUGAUCGGCCACAUUGGGACUGAGACACGGCCCAAACUCCUACGGGAGGCAGCAGUAGGGAAUCUUCCACAAUGGACGAAAGUCUGAUGGAGCAACGCCGCGUGAGUGAAGAAGGGUUUCGGCUCGUAAAGCUCUGUUGGUAGUGAAGAAAGAUAGAGGUAGUAACUGGCCUUUAUUUGACGGUAAUUACUUAGAAAGUCACGGCUAACUACGUGCCAGCAGCCGCGGUAAUACGUAGGUGGCAAGCGUUGUCCGGAUUUAUUGGGCGUAAAGCGAGUGCAGGCGGUUCAAUAAGUCUGAUGUGAAAGCCUUCGGCUCAACCGGAGAAUUGCAUCAGAAACUGUUGAACUUGAGUGCAGAAGAGGAGAGUGGAACUCCAUGUGUAGCGGUGGAAUGCGUAGAUAUAUGGAAGAACACCAGUGGCGAAGGCGGCUCUCUGGUCUGCAACUGACGCUGAGGCUC
rnacentral:rRNA from 1 species